AUAACUACUGGAAACGGUAGCUAAUACCGCAUAACGUCGCAAGACCAAGAGGGGGACCUUCGGGCCUCUCGCCAUCAGAUGUGCCCAGAUGGGAUUAGCUAGUAGGUGGGGUAACGGCUCACCUAGGCGACGAUCCCUAGCUGGUCUGAGAGGGUGACCAGCCACACUGGAACUGAGACACGGUCCAGACUCCUACGGGAGGCAGCAGUGGGGAAUAUUGCACAAUGG
rnacentral:rRNA from 1 species